GACGAACGCUGGCGGCGUGCUUAACACAUGCAAGUGGAGCGACGAACCAGGCUUCGGCCUGGGGCAAAGCCGCGAACGGGUGAGUAACACGUGGGUAACCUGCCCGACGACCGGGACAACUCGAGGAAACUCGGGCUAAUACCGGAUGUGCUCGCCCCGCACCAGCGAGGUGAGGAAAGGAAGCUUCGGCCUCCGCAUCGGGAUGGGCCCGCGGCCCAUUAGCUUGUUGGUGAGGAACGGCUCACCAAGGCUUCGAUGGGUAGCUGGUCUGAGAGGACGAUCAGCCACACUGGGACUGAGACACGGCCCAGACUCCUACGGGAGGCAGCAGGUGGGGAAUCUUGCGCAAUGCGCGAAAGCGUGACGCAGCAACGCCGC
rnacentral:rRNA from 1 species